AUUGAACGCUGGCGGCAUGCCUUACACAUGCAAGUCGAACGGUAACGGGCCUUCGGGUGCCGCCGAGUGGCGAACGGGUGAGUAAUACAUCGGAACGUGCCCGAUCGUGGGGGAUAACGAGGCGAAAGCUUUGCUAAUACCGCAUACGAUCUACGGCUGAAAGCGGGGGACCGCAAGGCCUUGCGCGGACGGAGCGGCCGAUGGCAGAUUAGGUAGUUGGUGGGAUAAAAGCUUACCAAGCCGACGAUCUGUAGCUGGUCUGAGAGGAUGAUCAGCCACACUGGGACUGAGACACGGCCCAGACUCCUACGGGAGGCAGCAGUGGGGAAUUUUGGACAAUGGGCGCAAGCCUGAUCCAGCCAUGCCGCGUGCAGGAUGAAGGCCUUCGGGUUGUAAACUGCUUUUGUACGGAACGAAAAGCCUUCUUUUAAUACAGGAGGGUCAUGACGGUACCGUAAGAAUAAGCACCGGCUAACUACGUG
rnacentral:rRNA from 1 species